GAUUAGCCCAGAUAGUAAUGAAAAUCCUUUUUAUUUUUUUCUUUAAAAAAUAAAAAGAUUGCAAUGGAUAGCUGGAAUAGCU
rnacentral:sRNA from 1 species